AUUGAACGCUGGCGGCAUGCUUUACACAUGCAAGUCGAACGGUAACAGGUCUUCGGAUGCUGACGAGUGGCGAACGGGUGGGUAAUGCAUCGGAACGUGCCCAGUCGUGGGGGAUAACGCAGCGAAAGCUGUGCUAAUACCGCAUACGAUCUAUGGAUGAAAGCGGGGGACCGUAAGGCCUCGCGCGAUUGGAGCGGCCGAUGGCAGAUUAGGUAGUUGGUGGGGUAAAGGCCCACCAAGCCAACGAUCUGUAGCUGGUCUGAGAGGACGACCAGCCAAGCUGCGACGAGCACGCGGCUCAGGCUCCUGCGGGAGGCAGCGGUGUGGGAGUGUGGACCCUGGGCGCAGGCCUGGUCCACCCAUGCCGCGGGCAGGAAGAAGGCCUGCGGGUUGUAAACGUCUUUUGUACGGAACGAAACGGUCUGGGUUAAGCCCCUGGGGUAAUGACGGUACCGUAAGAAUAAGCUCCGGCUAACGACGUGCCAGCCGCCGCCGUAAGAC
rnacentral:rRNA from 1 species